rnacentral:rRNA from 1 species
GAUGAACGCUAGCUACAGGCUUAACACAUGCAAGUCGAGGGGCAGCGCAGUGUAGCAAUACAUGGGCGGCGACCGGCGCACGGGUGCGUAACGCGUAUCCAACCUUCCCGUUACUCAGGGAUAGCCUUCCGAAAGGGAGAUUAAUACCUGAUGGUGUUGAAAUUCCGCAUGUUAUUUCAACUAAAGAUUUAUCGGUAACGGAUGGGGAUGCGUGACAUUAGGUAGAUGGCGGGGUAACGGCCCACCAUGCCUACGAUGUCUAGGGGUUCUGAGAGGAAGGUCCCCCACACUGGGACUGAGACACGGUCCAGACUCCUACGGGAGGCAGCAGUGAGGAAUAUUGGUCAAUGGUCGGAAGACUGAACCAGCCAAGUAGCGUGAAGGAUGAAGGUUCUAUGGAUUGUAAACUUCUUUUAUACGGGAAUAAAACGUCCCACGUGUGGGAUCUUGUAUGUACCGUAUGAAUAAGCAUCGGCUAACUCCGUGCCAGCCGCCGCAGUAACAC